UNGCAAGGUUAAUGAUAGAGGUCUACUGC
rnacentral:piRNA from 1 species